UCUGGAGAAGACCACUGAGCAGAAAACUAAAGAAACCGAUUUUACAUCAUUUCCCAGGUGGAGAACAGUUGGCAUGUAAGCCCCUGACCAGUGCCCAUCCUCUCCUCUGUCUGUCUAUCUCACUCUUAGGUACCAUGUUCUUUGUUCUCUCUUAACUGCAACUCAUUUUUAAACUAGAUUGCUUUUUAAAGAAGACUAAAUAAAAUUUCCCUUAAGUUAUUUAGGUGGUGCUGGGGCUGCUGGGGCUGCUGGGAGCCUGAUAGAAGACACAAACAUGCAGCAGGGGGCCUGUACCCAGCAGCCCCAAGGCCCGCCACCUUGGUGCUGGGGCUGCUGGGGGUAUCAGAGACACAAACCCGCAGGCCCAGCACCCAGCAGACCCAAGGCCUUCGCAGCAGCGCUAAGGAGCAGCAAGCCGAGCGGUAGGAAGCAGCAAGCAGGUGGGAAGUAAGGAGGGAGGGGUCCCAGACUGUGAGAGGGCACAUGCUGGGCUAAGGGACCCCCCACCCAUCCCCAGUGCACGAAUUUCGUGCACCGGGCCUCUAGUAUUUAUUAUAU